rnacentral:rRNA from 1 species
UACGUAGGGUGCAAGCGUUAAUCGGAAUUACUGGGCGUAAAGCGUGCGCAGGCGGUUUUGUAAGUCUGUCGUGAAAGCCCCGGGCUCAACCUGGGAAUUGCGAUGGAGACUGCAAGGCUUGAAUCUGGCAGAGGGGGCAGAUUCCACGUGUAGCAGGUGAAAUGCGUAGAGAAUGUGGAGGAACACCGAUGGCGAAGGCAGCCCCCUGGGUCAAGAUUGACGCUCAUGCACGAAAGCGUGGGGAGCAAACAGGG